rnacentral:rRNA from 1 species
UACAGAGGUCUCAAGCGUUGUUCGGAUUCAUUGGGCGUAAAGGGUGCGUAGGCGGCGCGGUAAGUCGGGUGUGAAAUCUCGGGGCUUAACUCCGAAACUGCAUUCGAUACUGCCGUGCUUGAGGACGGGAGAGGAGACUGGAAUUUACGGUGUAGCGGUGAAAUGCGUAGAUAUCGGAAGGAAGACCAGUGGCGAAGGCGGGUCUCUGGACAGUUCCUGACGCUGAGGCACGAAGGUCAGGGGAGCAAACGGG